UUCGGUAACGUUUUGUGUGCCGUAAUGUUUUUUGAAAAAUACAAAUGUGUGUUUACCUAAAGCAUGAUAAAAGUGUGUGUAAAAAAGUGCAAUGGAUUUUAAUUGAUUUGUUGAAUUUAAUGUGUUUGAUAGAAGAAAUGUAAAUUUUGUUUUUGCAACAGUCGAAAUAUCAAAAUUCGAUAACAGGAAUAUUUAAGGUGGUAUGCCACAGCUGGAAGAGGAAGUGCCAGGAAACGCACUACAUAGAUAAUUGAGCUGCCACAAUCACAGACGCAAAAUAGUUUGUUAAGAGAAAGGUUCACUAAUUAACAAAGCAGCUCGAAGACAUCACCGCUCCAUGGGUGCUCAUAUAUGUCUGUAUGUAUGAUAUGGCAGGCGGAGAAUUUAUAUAGCAUGUACACAUCUCUAAAAUGCUACCAAUCAGGAGAAAAAUAUAAAAAAAAAAUUUACUGUAUUUGUUACAUUUUAAUUUAUUUGAAUACAAUUCACAACCAAUUCUGCAAAAUAAAUCAAUAAAAUCAGGAAC